rnacentral:misc_RNA from 1 species
GAUGAAGAACGCAGCGAAAUGCGAUAAGUAAUGUGAAUUGCAGAAUUCAGUGAAUCAUCGAAUCUUUGAACGCAUCUUGCGCUCCUUGGUAUUCUGAGGAGCAUGCCUGUUUGAGUGUCAUUAAAUUCUCAACCGCACUGACGUUGAAUUGGUGUGGCUUGGAUUUGGGGGGAAAAUUGUUGUGGGCUUUUUUGUAUAGUCUGCUCCCCUGAAAUUGAUUAGCGGUACCUUUGUGGAACUGUCUACAGGUGUGAUAAUUAUCUACAUCCUAGACAUCUGCUGGAAUGCUGCUUUCUAAAACUUACUUGUAUUGACAAUCUUUACCUCAAAUCAGGUAGGACUACCCGCUGAACUUAAGCAUAUCAAUAAGCGGAGGA